rnacentral:rRNA from 1 species
AUUGAACGCUGGCGGCAUGCCUUACACAUGCAAGUCGAACGGUAGGGGGGCAACCCCUGAGAGUGGCGAACGGGUGAGUAAUGCAUCGGAACGUGCCCAGUUGUGGGGGAUAACGUAGCGAAAGCUACGCUAAUACCGCAUACGACCUGAGGGUGAAAGGGGGGGAUCGCAAGACCUCUCGCAAUUGGAGCGGCCGAUGUCAGAUUAGCUAGUUGGUGGGGUAAAAGCCUACCAAGGCGACGAUCUGUAGCUGGUCUGAGAGGACGACCAGCCACACUGGGACUGAGACACGGCCCAGACUCCUACGGGAGGCAGCAGUGGGGAAUUUUGGACAAUGGACGCAAGUCUGAUCCAGCCAUGCCGCGUGCAGGAAGAAGGCCUUCGGGUUGUAAACAGCUUUUGUCAGGGAAGAAAUCCCUUGGGAUAAUACCUCGGGGGGAUGACGGUACCUGAAGAAUAAGCACCGGCUAACUACGUGCCAGCAGCCGCCGCAGUAA